AGGGGUGUUGUGUUGGAGAAUAGAACUCACUUGCUCAGUUAGGAAGAUCUUUUUAGGCACAUGUGUCCUAGAUUUUCACUUUUGUGUACAAAGGUCUUUGAGAAAUUUGGCAUAGGAGGGAACUUGUCUGAUGGCAUCAAGGAGUGAGAGGUUGAUUUUAACUUGUUUGAAGACCUCUAUCAUCUCUUCUAAUGAAGUUCCCUUUUUGCCAAAUGGAGAGGGUGAAGUAAGAGCUUCAGGAAAUGGGGCCUUUGGGAUGUGAGUUUUGGCAGAAGAUGGACUAGCUGAAGAAGAAGA
rnacentral:lncRNA from 1 species